rnacentral:pre_miRNA from 1 species
GAUUUCAACUGAAAAAGUCAUCCGCAACAAAUAUGUAUAACUCAUCAAGAUCUAUAACUUUUAUUUUAGUCAUUUCAUCAUCCGAUAAAGUGAUAGCAAUAUUGUGCAUAAAAGUCACAUAUCUUUCAUCUGGUUUAUAAACUAUAACACACAUAUAUAAAUUUUGUGAACAGUGUUACUAACACUUUGUCGGAUGAAAAAAUAACCAAAAUAAAAGUUAUAGAUAUUGAUGAGUUAUACAUCUUUGUUGUUGAUGACCUUUUUAGUUGAACUC